UCUGCAAUUUGUCAAGGUUUCUCGUAUAAGCGUUUAUCGUAGUACUGUGCGGUGUCGUGGAGUCGUUUGUCAUUGUUGGGGAUAGUUUCUCUUUGCAGAGACGCUUUUUAUAUUUCCUUCGGGGCUCAGUUCAGGGUAAAUUGAAUGCGGGAUUGAAACUGUUUGAUUUUACCGUUGCAUCGACGCUUAUUUCGAACGUGUAUCAGGCAUUAAUUUUGUUAUUAUUAUCAUAAGAUAGUGGAGUGGCUAAAAAUGCUUUCAAUAUACUUAUGAACAUUACUAUUAUUACCUGAAUUAUAUACUAAUAAUAGAUAACCGAACGAUAAAACACUAUCAGUCCUACUAUGUAUACAUACAGACAACUUCUCAAAUCCAAUUGCAAAACAUAAGUUGCUAACGAAUGGCAUAAGCCGAGCAAUUUCGCACAGUCCGCGCCGCGAAAGAAUCGCUAGUCAAAGAGAGAAACGUGCAGCCCCAAAACAGCUUCGCCAUCAUAAUCGAAUACAUCAAACGCAGCGAACUCAAUUCCUUUGUCCCUCCUAUACCCGGGGUAUAUAUACAUUCUCCUCAUUCCGUCGAGUGCAGUCAUUUCUCGCCAGGCCGUCGAUCAAUACACGCAUCAUUUCUUCGUCCUUCCGGCCGUAAAAUGCUCACUCACUAGAUGUCCAAUCAAAAAUCAACAUCGGACGAAUUCGUAUUACCUCACAAUCAUGGAAUCAUAAAAAAAGCCGCAGAGAUAACAACAGAAAUUAAAUUCCAAGUGAAGGAUCGUACUACGAAGUAUGAAAGACAAAACGUGUAUCGACUUACUGUCAUCGUCGACCGUGCCGUUGUGCGAUAUCUCGAUACAGCGCGCGCAGUUCUUGGUGCACCUCUCGCAGGCAGCCGGAUGUCCCGGAUCGGACAGUAGUACCACUUCUCCCUCGUAGCCCUUGUUGGCUAUGAUUUUUUUAAAGCCUGCAAUGCGAAAGAUCGGCGAAGGUUACACAAAUUUUUUGUGUAAAAAUAAUAAUACGACGAACCUGAACACGACUUGUAUACCUUUGAGAAUAAAAUAGCUAUGAUAAACACUCGAUUCUACAA
rnacentral:lncRNA from 1 species